rnacentral:misc_RNA from 1 species
GGAAGUAAAAGUCGCAACAAGGUUUCCGUAGGUGAACCUGCGGAAGGAUCAUUAAUGAGUUGUCAUGGGGUUCGAUGCUGGCAGCCAAUUUUCGGAUGCAUGUGCUUGCCCUAACAAUCAUCUUCCAAACACCUGUGCACAUUUUUGAGGGAGUCUUGAGUUGGUUGCCGCUCUUGGGUGAUUUUCUCACAUUCCCUUAAAUCAUUAUACGCUAUUAACAAUGUUGAACGUGCUCUGUGCCGCAAGGCUAUUAAUAUAAUACAACUUUUAACAACGGAUCUCUUGGCUCUC